CCCCGGCCUCCCCCAAUCACAUCCCUGGGGAAGCAUUUCCACUGUGCCUAUUUCACACUUGGGGAAAUUAAGGCAACGGGUGUGGUGAGGAAUGAAUUCAUCAGUCUAUGGCUGUACCACGUCAUUCAAAAAUAUUCACUCCCUGGAUCAAGGGGUGGAAAUACAGAAACAUCCCUGGAUUCUGAUGGACAAAUCAAGAGAGUAAACGUUGUGGUAUGGUAACAGCGGUGUGAAUAAAGAGCUGUGACAGACCAGGGGAAAGGAAAACACUUCACACAGGACCUGACGUCUGAACUAUCUCCAAGGGCACCCAUGUGAACAUGUCUGGGCUCGCCUGCUGGAGCAUGGCAGAGCUUGGCCGACCCAGCUGAGACCAUCCUGAGCUAACCAGCACCCAGGUGACUUGGCAGCUGACUUCCAUCUGAUAAGUGAACCCAACUAAGACCAGAAGAACCAGCCUGCUGAUCCCAGUCCAAACUGCAGAACUGUAUCAAGAUCAGAAAGAACAACAUUCAUCAAGUCACCUACAAACCUUAUGUAGAUGAUAAGAUCCUAGACUUACAGCCUGAUGACAUAACAGCAAGAGACUUUUAGGGGUUCUGAAAUGAAGGUACGAUGCCAUCUCAGCAACAACAACGGCUGCACUCACACCAUCUUUAUCCAAAACUGAAGUUCCACACAGAAAACCUAAGAAUUAAAAAACACCUUUAAAAAGGAGGAAAAUAUAAGCCUAUGUAUAAUUUCAGUAGUUUCAUAUUUCUUCAGAAGGAUCAAUGCAUUUAAGAGCCUGGUAAUAAAGGAAACCCACUGAUACUGAACAUAUGUAAGGGGCCUUUAAGGGUUUUUUUUUUCUGAUGAGAAAUGUAUCUACACAUUUCUGAGUUCUUGAUAGUUUUUAUAACUCAAAAUGUAAAACCAGAUGACAAAAAUUCUGUAAUUUUUUACUUGUAGAGAAUUUUUUACUUGUAGAGAAUUCAAGUAAUUCUCUACAGAAUUACUAUAUUUGAAAAAAGUGCUCUCAUUCAUAUUUCAAAUAUUUUAAUA